GACGAACGCUGGCGGCGUGCUUAACACAUGCAAGUCGAACGGAAAGGCCCCUUUGGGGGUACUCGAGUGGCGAACGGGUGAGUAACACGUGAGUAACCUGCCCUUGACUUCGGGAUAACUUCAGGAAACUGGGGCUAAUACCGGAUAGGAAUCCUUGCUGCAUGGUGGGGGUUGGAAAGCUUCGGGGGUUUUGGAUGUACUCGCGGCUUAUCAGCUUGUUGGUGGGGUAGUGGCUUACCAAGGCUUUGACGGGGAGCCGGCCUGAGAGGGCGACCGGCACAAUUGGGACUGAGAUACGGCCAAGACCCCUCCGGGGGGAAGAAGUGGGGAAUAUUGCACAAUGGGGGGAAGCUUGAUGAAGAACGGCGGGGUGCGGGAUGCCGGCCUUCGGGUUGUAACCCGCUUUCAGCAGGGGCGAAGCUUGUGGUGACGGUACCUGUAGAAGAAGCACCGGCUAACUACGUG
rnacentral:rRNA from 1 species